GACGAACGCCGGCGGCGUGCCUAAUACAUGCAAGUAGAACGCUGAAGAGAGGAGCUUGCUCUUCUUGGAUGAGUUGCGAACGGGUGAGUAACGCGUAGGUAACCUGCCUUGUAGCGGGGGAUAACUAUUGGAAACGAUAGCUAAUACCGCAUAACAAUGGAUGACACAUGUCAUUUAUUUGAAAGGGGCAAUUGCUCCACUACAAGAUGGACCUGCGUUGUAUUAGCUAGUAGGUGAGGUAACGGCUCACCUAGGCGACGAUACAUAGCCGACCUGAGAGGGUGAUCGGCCACACUGGGACUGAGACACGGCCCAGACUCCUACGGGAGGCAGCAGUAGGGAAUCUUCGGCAAUGGGGGCAACCCUGACCGAGCAACGCCGCGUGAGUGAAGAAGGUUUUCGGAUCGUAAAGCUCUGUUGUAAGUCAAGAACGAGUGUGAGAGUGGAAAGUUCACACGGUGACGGAGCUACCAGAAAGGACG
rnacentral:rRNA from 1 species